GAAAUGCGAUAAGUAAUGCGAAUUGCAGAAUUUCCGUGAGUCAUCGAAUCUUUGAACGCACAUUGCCCCCAUUGGCAUUCCGAUGGGCAUGCCUGUUCGAGCGUCAUUAUCCUCCCUCAAACCCCGGGUUUGGUGUUGGACCCAAGUUGUGCGUCUGAACAACUGGUCUCAAAGACAAUGACGGCGUCCGUGGGACCCUCGGUGCAACGAGCUUUUAGGAGCACGCGUCGAGUUUCAAGGACCUUCCGGGCCGGUCUCCUUUUUAUAUAUAUCACAAGGUUGACCUCGGAUCAGGUAGGAAUACCCGCUGAACUUAA
rnacentral:misc_RNA from 1 species